rnacentral:rRNA from 1 species
UACGUAGGGCGCAAGCGUGUCCGGAAUUAUUGGGCGUAAAGGGCUCGUAGGCGGCCUGUCGCGUCGGGAGUGAAAGCCCACUGCUUAACGGUGGGUCUGCUUUCGGUACGGGCGGGCUAGAGUAUGGCAGGGGAGACUGGAAUUCCUGGUGUAGCGGUGGAAUGCGUAGAGAUCAGGAGGAACACCGAUGGCGAAGGCAGGUCUCUGGGCAUUAACUGACGCUGAGGAGCGAAAGCAUGGGGAGCGAACAGG